rnacentral:tRNA from 1 species
AAAGAAANNAAAAAGAAGCCUAUAACUUCUUAAAGAGCAAAUUAUUGUACAU